rnacentral:misc_RNA from 1 species
AACGCAUAUUGCGCCUGCGCCUCGGCAAAGGCAUGUCUGCCUCAGCGUCGGUUUACCCCCUCCAAUCUCUCUCUUCUUUGCAGAGAAGUGAGACAGAAGAUUGGGAAGUGACCUCCCCUUUCCCUGGGUUGGUUGAAACCGAUGCCCGUGCCCACCAUCCAAACGAAGGCACAGAAAGGUAGGCCGCUUCAUCAAGCGGCACUGCCCCUGUGAUCUUCGGGUGAGUGCUCGGGUGACACAGGAAUGCUUCUCUUCCUCUCACAAGGAGGGAUCAUCAAACAUCUGACCUGAGCUCAGGCAAGACCACCCGCUGAACUUAA